rnacentral:ncRNA from 1 species
CCCCUUCGCGUGCCGGGGCAAUGGCACGCACCUCCCUGUUGGACUUGCCCGGGCCGCGUGCCCGGGUUUUUUU